rnacentral:rRNA from 1 species
GACGAACGCUGGCGGCGUGCUUAACACAUGCAAGUCGAACGUGAUUUUUGUGGAAAUUCUUUCGGGAAUGGAAAUGAAAUGAAAGUGGCGAACGGGUGAGUAACACGUGAGCAACCUACCUUACACAGGGGGAUAGCCGUUGGAAACGACGAUUAAUACCGCAUGAGACCACAGAAUCGCAUGAUAUAGGGGUCAAAGAUUUAUCGGUGUAAGAAGGGCUCGCGUCUGAUUAGCUAGUUGGAAGGGUAAAGGCCUACCAAGGCGACGAUCAGUAGCCGGUCUGAGAGGAUGAACGGCCACAUUGGAACUGAGACACGGUCCAAACUCCUACGGGAGGCAGCAGUGGGGAAUAUUGCACAAUGGGGGGAACCCUGAUGCAGCGACGCCGCGUGAGCGAAGAAGGUUUUCGAAUCGUAAAGCUCUGUCCUANGAGAAGAUAANGACG